CCUACGGGAGGCAGCAGUGGGGAAUAUUGCACAAUGGGCGAAAGCCUGAUGCAGCGACGCCGCGUGGGGGACGAAGGCCUUCGGGUUGUAAACCCCUUUCAGCAGGGAAGAAGCGAGAGUGACGGUACCUGCAGAAGAAGCGCCGGCUAACUACGUGCCAGCAGCCGCGGUAAUACGUAGGGCGCAAGCGUUGUCCGGAAUUAUUGGGCGUAAAGAGCUCGUAGGCGGUUUGUCGCGUCUGCUGUGAAAACCCGAGGCUCAACCUCGGGCCUGCAGUGGGUACGGGCAGACUAGAGUGCGGUAGGGGAGACUGGAAUUCCUGGUGUAGCGGUGGAAUGCGCAGAUAUCAGGAGGAACACCGAUGGCGAAGGCAGGUCUCUGGGCCGCAACUGACGCUGAGGAGCGAAAGCAUGGGGAGCGAACAGGAUUAGAUACCCUGGUAGUCCAUGCCGUAAACGUUGGGCACUAGGUGUGGGGCUCAUUCCACGAGUUCCGUGCCGCAGCUAACGCAUUAAGUGCCCCGCCUGGGGAGUACGGCCGCAAGGCUAAAACUCAAAUGAAUUGACGGGG
rnacentral:rRNA from 1 species